rnacentral:rRNA from 1 species
AUUGAACGCUGGCGGCAGGCCUAACACAUGCAAGUCGAGCGAGCGGCGGACGGGUGAGUAAUGUAUGGGGAACUGCCUGAUCGAGGGGGAUAACUACUGGAAACGGUGGCUAAUACCGCCUACUAUACGAUGAGCCCAUAUGGGAUUAGCUAGUAGGUGGGGUAAAGGCUCACCUAGGCGACGCUCCCUACCUGGUCUGAGAGGAUGAUCAGCAACACUGGGACGGAGACACGGCCCAGACUCCUACGGGAGGCAGCAGUGGGGAAUAUUGCACAAUGGGCGAAAGCCUGAUGCAGCCAUGCCGCGUGUAUGAAGAAGGCCUUAGGGUUGUAAAGUACUUUCAGCGGGGAGGCGUUACCCGCAGAAGAAGCACCGGCUAACUCCGUGCCAGCAGCCGCGGUAAUUC